rnacentral:rRNA from 1 species
ACCAGGUCUUGACAUCCGUGUAAAGCCGCAAGAGAUGCGGUGUGAGCUUGCUCAAUACGAGACAGGUGGUGCAUGGUUGUCGUCAGCUCGUGUCGUGAGAUGUUGGGUUAAGUCCCGCAACGAGCGCUACCCUUAUCGUCCGUUACUAACGCGUAAAGGCGAGGACUCAGACGAGACCGCCGGGGACAACUCGGAGGAAGGUGGGGACGACGUCAAAUCAUCAUGCCCCUUACGACCUGGGCUACACACGUGCUACAAUGGGUACAACAAAGAGAAGCGAGACCGCAAGGUGGAGCAAAACUCAGAAAAGUACUCUCAGUUCAGAUCGUGGGCUGCAACCCGCCCACAUGAAGUUGGAGUUGCUAGUAAUCGCGGAUCAGCAUGCCGCGGUGAAUACGUUCCCGGGCCUUGUACACACCGCCCGUCACACCAUGGGAGUUGGGAGCGCCCGAAGCCAGUGAGGUAACCGAAAGGAGCCAGCUGUCGAAGGUGAGACCAAUGACUGGGGUGAAGUCGUAACAAGGUAACCA